rnacentral:lncRNA from 1 species
UAUUCACAAAGUAUGGCUCAAAUUAGCAAAGUGAAAAUAAUAUUAAAAUAAACAAAUUGAAUGGUAUGAAUAAUGGCAAAUGAAUAAAGACUUGAAAUUAAAGUACAUAAAAGUAAAUGGCUUGAAAUUAAAUAUUAGUUGUUAAUUGAUUAGAAGUUAGUAUUGUUUUUGCUUUUGUUUUGUUUAAGUCAUUCUUUGGAGAACACUCAAUCCACUAUUCACAAGCAUGGAUCCUUGAAC